rnacentral:rRNA from 1 species
CCUACGGGAGGCUGCAGUCGCGAAAACUUCGCAAUGGGGGCAACCCCGACGAGGGAAUUCCAAGUGCCAGCACUUUGUGUUGGCUGUUCUCCUGUCUAAAAAACAGGAGGAGUAAGGGGCGGGUAAGACGGGUGCCAGCCGCCGCGGUAAUACCCGCGCCCCUAGUGGUGGUCGAUAUUAUUGAGCCUAAAACGUUCGUAGCCGGUCUUUUAAAUCUUUGGGCAAAUCGGGCAGCUUAACUGUCCGACUUCCGAGGAGACUGGAAGACUUGGGACCGGGAGAGGUCAGAGGUACUUCUGGGGUAGGGGUAAAAUCCUGUAAUCCUGGAAGGACCACCGGUGGCGAAGGCGUCUGACUAGAACGGAUCCGACGGUGAGGGACGAAGCCCUGGGGCGCAAACGGGAUUAGAUACCCUUGUAGUC